GGCCUUGACAUACUAAGAACUUUCCAGAGAUGGAUUGGUGCCUUCGGGAACUUAGAUACAGGUGCUGCAUGGCUGUCGUCAACUCGUGUCGUGAGAUGUUGGGUUAAGUCCCGNAACGAGCGCAACCCUUUUCCUAUUUGCCAGCGGGUCAUGCCGGGAACUUUAAGGAUACUGCCAGUGACAAACUGGAGGAAGGCGGGGACGACGUCAAGUCAUCAUGGCCCUUACGGCCAGGGCUACAUACGUGCUACAAUGGUCGGUACAAAGGGUUGCUACCUCGCGAGAGGAUGCUAAUCUCAAAAAGCCGAUCGUAGUCCGGAUCGCAGUCUGCAACUCGACUGCGUGAAGUCGGAAUCGCUAGUAAUCGCGGAUCAGAAUGCCGCGGUGAAUACGUUCCCGGGCCUUGUACACACCGCCCGUCACACCAUGGGAGUUUGUUGCACCAGAAGUAGGUAGUCUAACCGCAAGGAGGACGCUUACCACGGUGUGGCCGAUGACUGGGGUGAAGUCGUAACAAGGUAGGCGUAGAUGA
rnacentral:rRNA from 1 species